CAUAUGGUUUUAGUUUUAGUUAGAUUGAUUCUACCCUACCGUUUUCGUUUUGCUAACAUUUUGGUUGGAGUCUGCGUAUUUUUGUCUCUCACCCCACAGCACGAAAAGAAUCAGCCAAGAUGAGCUGCAGGAAGCUUGUUCCCUUUGUUACCCGCCAAUUCUCCACCACAACUCGCAGACAAGCUGAUGUUGUCCAUCCUGGCUACAAGGAGUUAAAAGUAAAACAGGAAUUGUUCCAGAAAGAAGAUGGAGUUCCUGUUCAUCUUAAGAAAGGUGUAGUGGAUUCAAUCGUUUACAGGUUCACAAUGGGCCUUGGUGUCUUCGGAGUUGGUGCCAGUCUUUUUUCCUUCUACAAACUUGCAACCGGUCAAAAGUAAAAGAUCUUCAUCAAAAGAUCGCCAAUUGAAAAAUAGGAUAAAUUAUUACUUGUUAAAUUUAAGAAAAUAAAAUUAAUGUAGACCUAACGUAAA